AAUAAAAAAUGGGUGGCGGGGGGCGGAAGGGGGUGCGGUUACUCUCUCUCAUUCUUCAGCAAGGUUCCCAGGGCCAGGCAUCAGGGAGUGUCCCAGCCUCACAUUCAAAAAAUAGGCGUCAUCUCGAUUCGGUCAUAAGGGUCCCAGUAUUAUUGAGCUGGUGUCCAGCCCAUGCCCAAGUCUGCCCUUGGCUCUCUCUGUAUAGGUUUGCUUCUCCUGCAUCCCUUUCCUCUGGAACCAUCCUGCCCUUGAGCGCAGAGAUCCUAAGGCCUCUUUUAUCACCAUAUCUAGAAAGUGGUAGGUAUUCAAUGAGUCUGGUAUGAUUUCUCCCCCUUCCUCCUGUCCUCUGACUCCAUUCAGUAUUUUCAUCUUUAUUCUUUACUCUCUUCCCCCCCACCACCUUGCCCCCUGCUGUUUCUUUUCCCUGUCCCUUUUCUUGCCAUGUAAUGUUUUGUCCCUUUCUGCCUGUUUUGUGGAAAGGGUCUUAAAUUGGGAGAUCUGGCUCUGGGUCCAGUCUUGGCAUUCCUUCUGCGACCUUGCUGUGGUUGCUCAUUGCUCCAAGCCCCAGGCUCCCCCUCUGAACACGUCUGUUGGACUAUGGGUGGUUCCACACUAAGGUGGCACCAUCUCUGACCCAGGGGCAUGUGGAAAUGGCGUGGACCAUUUUUUUUUAGUUGUCACAAUGCCUGGGAGUUGCCAUUCACAUUUAGUGGGCAGGGACUGGGGAUGCGAAACCUGAAAUGCUCGGAAGAUCCCAUCCAAAUGCCAAUAGAACCCUCAUGCAGAAACACAAGUAGAUGGUCUCUUAGGGUUCCAGCAAUUAAUUCAGUGAUUCUACGAUUCGUAUACUUCUCUCUAUGCUUCUUACUCCAUAAGGGAGUGAAAGCUGUUUCUCUUUAAUGCUUUCUGUCUCUCUGUCACAAGAGACCGGAGCUCCCUUUUUAUAGAAACUGAUCUAAACAAUGGAAGGGUCACUUUGGCCCUUGGAACCAUUUCUGUCAUCCCUCUUAGUUUCAGCAGCCGUAGUCGCCAGCAUCAGCCUGGUACAUCCCGCAGGUACUGCAUAUAAAGCUCGUAAUAGCCUAUAAUGGAGUCUCAUGGAUAUUACAUGCUUCCAAAUCCCACAUUAUCUGGUUGGGGGGAUUAAAGAGAAGAUUGGGAGGGGGGAGGGACACAGCGGGCCCCGGGGCUGGUGUCAGUACACAGAGGCACGCAGCGUGCCCAAUUCAUUUGCCAUGGCCCCCGCCUACCCAGCAUUCACCACUGGUGAGAAGCAAUGAAUGCCUCUGCCUCUUUAAAGCUCAGCAGAGGAAGGAUGCUGGAGAAAUCACCACUAGCCAACAGACAGUCUUUUUUCCUGUGGCCUCCCAAAAGAACUUCAGAUUGGUUCUCAGGAGAAGAAGAAAUGAUCCUGAACAAAUGGAAAGGACAGAAUGAGAGGAGCCUUCUCCGGAGGCACAGACUUUCUAGGCACCAGCCUAGGUCACAAGGGUCCCUGUAGUGAGCGCUCCCUCCAGGCUCUGUGACUGCUUGACCAAUAGAGUAUGGUGGAAGUCACAAUGGGACACCUUCUGGCCCAGGACUUAAGAGACUGAAAGCUUCUUCUUCUUGUCUUGGAGCAUUUACUACUGUUGGAGCCCUGGGCCUCCAUGUUAGAAGUCCAGCCACCCUGUGAAAGAGACCACAUGGGGAAGCCCUGAGACUACAUGGAGAGCCAGACAUGAGAGGGAAACCAUCUUGGACCCCCAGCCCAGCCUAGCCACCAGCUCAAUACCACUGAGUGACCCAGUUUAUGCCACAUGGAACAAAAGAAUCAUCCAGCCAAACCCCGUCUGAAUUCCUGGACUACACAAUUGUGAGAUAGAAUACAACGAUCGUUGUUUUUAGCUACUAAGUUUCGGGGUCGUUUUUUUAUGCAGCCAUAACUGAA